ACCUCAACACAGGAAACAAAAGCCAAUAAAAAAUUGUGAUGAAUUUUUGUGGGAUUUGUUUGGACGCAAGACCCAAGAAUCAAAAUAGGAUUAUUUUCUUAACACCCAAAUUAAAGAAUAAAAAGGUUUAUCUCUUUCUCGGGUGUCGAAGUAUACGCUCUCAAGGGAAGAAAAAAUUAGGGCGAUUUUGUUUUGCUCUCCGACGACAGAAACCACGCACAGGUUGAUUGAUAGUUGAUCAGACUGAUUUGUUGAUUGCGGCUGAAGCAGUAGUGGCUCGAGUGGAGGUGUAAUCGAAUUUUGAUCAGAAAAAAAAAGGAUACCCGGCUGUGUGUUUAUCAGAAGUUUUUCAGAUCUGUUGUGCGAUCUGAAGUUUUUCCGGUGAUGAACAGAGUGUCAAAGGAUCAGAAACUCUGCUCUGAUACCAUGUUGUCGAGAAUAGGUAAAAAAGAGAUUGAAUUGUAGUCCUUUUGAUUGAUACAUUCUAUUACAUCCAGGCCUUCAAUUUAUAGACCAAACAUAAACUAAAAAUGGAUACAAGAAUAACUAAAGGGAAUAAACAAAGGCUGGAAAUCCGGAUUGUGAGCUGUAAUUGUGAGCAGAAGAUGGGAGAUUAGGUUUGACUGAACCCAAUAUUUUCCAAAUAUACUUUAUUUUCUAACAGUUUAUACCAA